rnacentral:rRNA from 1 species
CCUACGGGCGGCAGCAGUGGGGAAUAUUGGACAAUGGGGGGAACCCUGAUCCAGCCAUGCCGCGUGUGUGAAGAAGGCCCUCGGGUUGUAAAGCACUUUCAGUGAGGAAGAACGCCUGGUGGUUAAUAUCCAUCAGGAAAGACAUCACUCACAGAAGAAGCACCGGCUAACUCCGUGCCAGCAGCCGCGGUAAUACGGAGGGUGCGAGCGUUAAUCGGAAUUACUGGGCGUAAAGCGCGCGUAGGUGGCUUGAUAAGCCGGUUGUGAAAGCCCCGGGCUCAACCUGGGAACGGCAUCCGGAACUGUCAAGCUAGAGUGCAGGAGAGGAAGGUAGAAUUCCCGGUGUAGCGGUGAAAUGCGUAGAGAUCGGGAGGAAUACCAGUGGCGAAGGCGGCCUUCUGGUCUGACACUGACACUGAGGUGCGAAAGCGUGGGUAGCAAACAGGAUUAGAUACCCCUGUAGUC